UCAAGGUUGACCUCGGAUCAGGUAGGAAUACCCG
rnacentral:rRNA from 1 species